CCUACGGGUGGCUGCAGUGAGGAAUAUUGGUCAAUGGCCGGAAGGCUGAACCAGCCAAGCCGCGUGAAGGACGAAGGUGCCAAGCAUUGUAAACUUCUUUUGUCAAGGGACAAAAUCAGGCUCGAGAGCCUGACCGCGGGUACUUGAAGAAAAAACAUCGGCUAACUCCGUACCAGCAGCCGCGGUAAUACGUAGGAUGCGAGCGUUAUCCGGAUUUAUUUGGUUUAAAGGGUGCGUAGGCGGACGGUUAAGUCAGCGGUAACAGCGCGGGGCUCAAACCCGGCGAGCCGUUGAAACGGGCUGUCUUGAGAUGUCGAGAGGUAUGCGGAAUGCGCAGUGUAGCGGUGAAAUGCUUAGAUAUGGCGCAGAACUCCGAUUGCGAAGGCAGCAUACCGGCGGCGAUCUGACGCUGAGGCACGAAAGCGUGGGUAUCGAACAGGAUUAGAGACCCUAGUAGUC
rnacentral:rRNA from 1 species